CCCCAAAACUGAAACAGAAACAGAAACCCUAACUCGAGCUCUAUCUCGACUCUCGACCUCCUUUCUGAACCAAACUCGAGCUCCUCCCAAACUCGAGCUCCUCCUCCUCAGUCGCCGCCAUUGUUACCCUCAUCGCCUCCUUCAUCUAUCUCCUCGGCUUCAUCUAGUCCUUCAUCUCACGCGCCUCCCACUACGACGACGAGGUGCUCAUCAACUGCCGCUGCUGCCCUCCCCCAGCCAAACCCAAAUUCGUCCACACCGACCCCUCAUUGUGCUUCGAGGAGGACGAGGACAUCAUCCAAGCCGUUCUAAAUGGCGGCGUUCCUUCUUAGUCUCUCGAAUCGAAGCUCGGCGACUGCAAUAUCAUAGCGGUGAUUCGGUGCGAGUGGCUUCAGAGAACGACUGGGAGGUCACUGUAGGGUUUACCUCUCGAAGGUUUCGAUUACGACUCCAUUCUUGGACAGUGCUGCGAGUCGCCGGUCGGAGACGAAGUAAUCUUUAUAGAGUUUAAGAAGCUCGAGUUUGUGGGUGGGUUGAAGAACUGUGAAUUUUUGGAGAAAGUCAAGUCCAGCUUGGGUAUGUGCUCUCGCUUGCUUCCAAUCUUUGUACCAAUUGAAAUUGUUUCUUGCCAAUUUCGUUCUCUAUGUAUGCUGUGACUG